UACAACAUUUUAACGACUUUUCUCCACGGCCAUUUUGCUACUAUUACUUCAGCUGGUUAGAUGUGCCCAUCGAAAAAUGGAUCGAGACGGACUGGCCUAUGGCCUUUUUAAGAAAUGCGGCAGGAGAAGGACACCAAAGCUCUCGCCACGACUCCUUCCGGAAUGUACGAAAAUUCAAGCCUUACUCUCGGAUUCUUCGCAGACGAAACGUGCACCGUGACGUAAAAAAUAACGUUAUCAAUCAAUGGUGAUUACAGGACAUCCUGACAUCCUUCAAUAAUUUCAAUUUCGAAAUAAAAAUAUAAUUCAAA